rnacentral:rRNA from 1 species
AUGGGGAAACCCAGUGUGAUUCGUCACACUAUCAUUAACUGAAUCCAUAGGUUAAUGAGGCGAACCGGGGGAACUGAAACAUCUAAGUACCCCGAGGAAAAGAAAUCAACCGAGAUUCCCCCAGUAGCGGCGAGCGAACGGGGAGGAGCCCAGAGCCUGAAUCAGCAUGUGUGUUAGUGGAAGCGUCUGGAAAGGCGCGCGAUACAGGGUGACAGCCCCGUACACAAAAGCGCAUGUGCUGUGAGCUCGAUGAGUAGGGCGGGACACGUGGUAUCCUGUCUGAAUAUGGGGGGACCAUCCUCCAAGGCUAAAUACUCCUGACUGACCGAUAGUGAACCAGUACCGUGAGGGAAAGGCGAAAAGAACCCCGGCGAGGGGAGUGAAAAAGAACCUGAAACCGUGUACGUACAAGCAGUGGGAGCACAGGUUUACCUGUGUGACU